UGAAGAGUGAUGCUUUUUGAAGAUGGGAAUGAGCAGACUUGAUGGGACCAAGCUUUGAGGUGCACGUUGGUCCAAUCUUGUUGCAGGAUUGUCUGGAAGAGGAUGGCCAUGUCACAGGCCUCAGAGGAGUCCCUAGGAGGGGCCACCAAGUGAGGGUCCUUGGCUUCACACAGAAGAGAACUCAAGAGUGAGCCGUGGUAUCAAGUGGAAGCAUGGAGGCAAAACUGAAGUAGGAGGGGGAAGCUGCCAAAAUCACCGUGAAACCAAGUCCCU